GCCAUUCACGCAAGCUAGUUGAACGUAGCACGCUAGCCGCUAAUGCGCCGAUGAUGCAAUUUGACAACAUCCAGACAUUGCGAAGCAGGAGUUCAAGCGCGCUCCAGGUCAGGGUGUAGUCAGCCUUUUCGCCCGAUGUUAGCUGGGAUACGCUCCAGCUUUCCUGCAACCCUUGUGAGGAUGAGCCGCUUGGACAGUGACAUGACAUUCAGUUGACUAGCGAGCGGCCCAAGGCACUUCCCUCCAGCCGGGGUCGGGUUUCAUCUCACCAACCGAAGACGACGAGCGCGGCAGAAAAUGGACGGAUGUGAAAAAAAAGCGCCCGCCGCCUCCCUUCCAGCAGUGCCAACGCAAACUGCAGCGAUGCACUGAACAUUGAGUGGGUCGCGUGGUCGUGCGAGUGCGCCGCUCACAGUGUCUCUUGUUCCACAUUCGCCGCAGCGGCGCCUGACUGCUACGCAGCAGCAUUUACGGACUCCAUAUUGUCAUUGGGCAAGUUACGAGUUGGACUCUCAGUUGGCUGGAGAAGGAAGCUGUCCCGCUGACACACAAAAAAAGGGGUUACCCACCCACACAGCUAACUGGCAAGCACCGAAAUGAAAUUUGUCACAACAAAAAUGUGGCCUUUAGUGCUGGACACGCUAAAUGAACCAGCAAGUGUGUUACGCGGUACACGUUUUCAGGCUUUCCAGAAUGAAACGACACACAAAAAUAAAAAAAAAAAGAUUUUCAUCUCAAUACGGGGUGUCGACUUACGACGAACUAGCUUAAUGCGAACAGAUGAUGCAAAAUGCCAGAGGGGCUAACUAAACUCGCAUCAAUGUCACCCUUGCUAUGACCCUGAAAACACAAAUUGUGCAGCAACACAUUGAGACAUACGCUGUAUGUAGUCCCAAGUUUAAGGGCUCCUAUAGUACGUUCAUUGAUACAAAUGUAUGCCUAUUUUGUCACGUAUGCCUGCUUUUUUUUUUUUUUUUUUAUGGUUACACCCGUAGAGGUGAAUAUAUUUCACGCUUCCAUUUUUAGGGGGGCGGGGGCGCUUGCCUUCACGAGGGUCCCAGAAGAGCUUGAGCCUAUCCCAGCUGACUUUGAGCAAAAGGCUCGCCGAUCGAGAUUCGAGCCUGGCACCGCAGAGGUGCGUCCUGGCAGCUUCCAUUUGCAAUUGUUUAUUCGGAUCGUGAAAUGUUCCGUCUGUAUUUGACAUGGAACUGAAGAGCGACUUUUUUUUUUUCCCUGCAUCCUGUCUCCAGCUAUGACUGCUUCCUGAUUCAAUCGCAAUGUGGCAACUGUCAACAGCCGUCGUGCAAAACGCGCACUCAGUGACACAUUUGCCACGAAAAGACGCGACGUUCUCGGCUACUGGCUGGCUGCUUUUUCGGUGUCACGAAAACUCAUUUAUGGGGCAGGCCGGGCGGGGGACGAGCAAGAGACGCGAAAGUGGGCCAAAGGCUUCAGGCUCCUGACAGGCUCCUGACAGGCUAGCCCCACCUAGCCGGACGGGUUACACGCGAGAGAAGAGGCGAGGUCCGCCGGGGGUGCGGUGCUAGCGCUGCAAAGGCGAAAAUGUGCGCCGAUUGUCUCAUUUUCUCUUUCAUCGACCAGUUCUAGCAACGGAGAC